rnacentral:rRNA from 1 species
GACGAACGCUGGCGGCGUGCUUAACACAUGCAAGUCGAACGGAAAGGCCCUGCUUUUGUGGGGUGCUCGAGUGGCGAACGGGUGAGUAACACGUGAGUAACCUGCCCUUGACUUUGGGAUAACUUCAGGAAACUGGGGCUAAUACCGGAUAGGAGCUCCUGCUGCAUGGUGGGGGUUGGAAAGUUUCGGCGGUUGGGGAUGGACUCGCGGCUUAUCAGCUUGUUGGUGGGGUAGUGGCUUACCAAGGCUUUGACGGGUAGCCGGCCUGAGAGGGUGACCGGCGACAUUGGGACUGAGAGACGGAGCAGACUCCUACGGGAGGCAGCAGUGGGGAAUAUUGCACAAUGGGCGGAAGCCUGAUGCAGCAACGCCGCGUGCGGGAUGACGGCCUUCGGGUUGUAAACCGCUUUCGCCUGUGACGAAGCGUGAGUGACGGUAAUGGGUAAAGAAGCACCGGCUAACUACGUG